CAACUUCUUCACCUGAGUUCCGCAUAAAUCCGGCCCAAACAUCAAACUGUACGGGGUAUCACCCCCGAAUUUCUUCUGAUUAACAUAACCAGACAUCAUCUUAAUGUAUCCACCGCCACACUCGAUAUCCUGCUCAAGCUUGAUCGAGUACUGAACAACUAAGGUCCUAUCCUUGUUGCUGAACUCCGGGAUCUUGGCGGAUAUCGCGAAGUGCCGGGCGUCCGGAUACGUCUGUAUGCCUUUGUCGUCGGGAUCGCCGGACCAUUUGCCGGCGGUGUGCUUGAACGAUCCAGCUUUGCCCUCGCUCCGCUUCCAGUCGGACUUCACCCAGCGGCUCUCCCAGCCGUCUUCGAAGCGCUCCUCGAAGAUGACCUCCCCGGCGG
rnacentral:misc_RNA from 1 species